UCCCUGAUAGCUCAGUUGGUAAAGAAUCCACCUGCAGUGUGGGAGACCUGGGUUCAAUCCCUAGGUUGGGAA
rnacentral:tRNA from 1 species